UGAAGCUUUCAAUGGAGCACAUCACAUGAAGCUCAGCACCUCAUCAGUUGUUAGAUUAAAUUUAAAGAACUAUGCAGAUCAUACUUUUCUGCUGUGGAGUGAAAGGAAACAGUUUGGACCUCGAUGGGGAUCUAAAGAAGAAUCCGACUGUACACCUCCGCUCUGAUGAGAGAGAGUUCUUUGGCCUCAGCAGCUACGCUAAUGGAACCUGAUCGGUGUUUGUCCCACAGUGCAGAGUAAAUGGACUCUUGAACUGUAACCUUACACAAACCUGUGUGUGAGGAAAGGGCCAGCGGCGGCAGAUUGAAUGUCCCGGUGCAGCGGUGUGGUGGAGCAGGUCAAUUACAGCCUCUCGUGAAGGUUCAGUGUCACAGGCCUGCUCUGGAAGAAGCUUCCACUCACACUGGAGGUCUGAGAAAUAACCACAAUCACACCUCACGGUUUAAAUCAGGAAUAUUUAUCCGUUGGAUUCAGAACGUCUGAGAUCGGUGGAGACAGAUCCGGUGAUGAGCUCUUUGAAAUUGGAAAAUGGAUAAUGAGAUAACUGCGGCGGGCUUUGAUGAUGGCGAGGGAAAACAUCUCAAGGCUUUUGUAGGUGAGCUCUGACGCCUGACACCUUGUGGGACAUAAAGAGAAAAGGAAAGUAGCUCUUGUUGAAGUUUAAUUCAGUUGGCUUCUCUUUUCAAAGAUUCUUAUCUGUUGGGAAAAGGAAGGGAAGAGGAAACAGUAAAUGUCUACAUCAGGGAUUUAACAAAACCAUUUGUGGUUCCAGUAAAUCUCUGAUGCUCCACCACCCUGGAUGGUUCAAUUACUGGAGUAGCUCUUUUUAAGGCCAUUCUUUUUUACAAGUACAAUUUACGUCAGUAUCUUUUUACACUUUUUGUUAUGCAAGAACAGAAUCCAGAUCUACCACUCGACAAUUAUCAUUAUCAUCUCAGUAUUUAUAUUAUUAAUUGGAGUAAGGAUUAGUGGACUUGCAGUUUAUGUUAUAUGUUAUGUUACAUAGUAUGUUAUUUUUCUACCCUCUGAACAGUCACCAAGUACAUUCUGCUCCCCCACUCAUACAGAUACACUUACUUCACAUAUAUUCAUUUAUUUAAUAUUCCCCACUUCUUCACGCUGUAAACUGCUGCUUCAUUUGACUUUGAUUUGACUAUGUUAUAUGUUUUACAUAUAUUCAUAUUAUUUAAUUUAAUAUUCCCCCAUCCUUCACCCUGUAA